rnacentral:rRNA from 1 species
CCCAUGGCUCAGAUUGAACGCUGGCGGCAGGCCUAACACAUGCAAGUCGAGCGGUAGAGAGAAGCUUGCUUCUCUUGAGAGCGGCGGACGGGUGAGUAAUGCCUAGGAAUCUGCCUGGUAGUGGGGGAUAACGCUCGGAAACGGACGCUAAUACCGCAUACGUCCUACGGGAGAAAGCAGGGGACCUUCGGGCCUUGCGCUAUCAGAUGAGCCUAGGUCGGAUUAGCUAGUUGGUGAGGUAAUGGCUCACCAAGGCGACGAUCCGUAACUGGUCUGAGAGGAUGAUCAGUCACACUGGAACUGAGACACGGUCCAGACUCCUACGGGAGGCAGCAGUGGGGAAUAUUGGACAAUGGGCGAAAGCCUGAUCCAGCCAUGCCGCGUGUGUGAAGAAGGUCUUCGGAUUGUAAAGCACUUUAAGUUGGGAGGAAGGGCAGUAAAUUAAUACUUUGCUGUUUUGACGUUACCGACAGAAUAAGCACCGGCUAACU